GUGGGGAAUAUUGGACAAUGGGCGAAAGCCUGAUCCAGCCAUGCCGCGUGUGUGAAGAAGGUCUUCGGAUUGUAAAGCACUUUAAGUUGGGAGGAAGGGCAGUAAGUUAAUACCUUGCUGUUUUGACGUUACCGACAGAAUAAGCACCGGCUAACUUCGUGCCAGCAGCCGCGGUAAUACGAAGGGUGCAAGCGUUAAUCGGCAUUACUGGGCGUAAAGCGCGCGUAGGUGGUUUUGUAAGUUGGAGGUGAAAUCCCCGGGCUCAACCUGGGAACUGCCUCCAAAACUGCAUGACUAGAGUACGGUAGAGGGUAGUGGAAUUUCCUGUGUAGCGGUGAAAUGCGUAGAUAUAGGAAGGAACACCAGUGGCGAAGGCGACUACCUGGACUGAUACUGACACUGAGGUGCGAAAGCGUGGGGAGCAAACAGGAUUAGAAACCCCGGUAGUCC
rnacentral:rRNA from 1 species